GCUAAAACACCGGUUCUCGUUCGAUCACCGAAGUUAAGCAUCGUAGAGCCAGGUCAGUACUUAGAUGGGGGACCGCUUGGGAACACCUGGUACUGUAAG